rnacentral:lncRNA from 1 species
ACUACAAGAAAUCUUGAAUCAGACAACACUGAUCAGACAACGGACGCUGAAAAAAGCGUUGGCCGAAAACGAGAUACAACGGUUUAUUUUCAUCCUCGAAAAACUAUUGUUUAAUACCACGACCUACAAUGGUUAAAAAAAUGUUGUCUAGUAAAUUCAAUCAGACAACGGUGUCUUACCUGUGGUAUUGUGUAAUGAUGCACGAUAGACAACUGUUUUUAGAGCCGAUGUGUGAAGAAAC